rnacentral:rRNA from 1 species
UACGGAGGGUGCAAGCGUUAAUCGGAAUUACUGGGCGUAAAGCGUACGUAGGUGGUUUACUAAGUCAGACGUGAAAUCCCUCAGCUUAACUGGGGAACUGCGUCUGAUACUGGAAAGCUUGAGUGCAGGAGAGGAACGCGGAAUUCCAGGUGUAGCGGUGAAAUGCGUAGAUAUCUGGAGGAACACCGGUGGCGAAGGCGGCGUUCUGGACUGCAACUGACACUGAGAGACGAAAGCCAGGGGAGCAAACGGG